ACGACCGGCGCACGGGUGCGUAACGCGUAUGCAACCUACCUUUUACUGGGGGAUAGCCCGGAGAAAUUCGGAUUAACACCGCAUAACAUGUUGAAACGGCAUCGUUUUAAUAUUAAAUAUUUAUAGGUAAAAGAUGGGCAUGCGUCCAAUUAGCUAGUUGGUAGUGUAACGGACUACCAAGGCUAUGAUUGGUAGGGGUUCUGAGAGGAAGGUCCCCCACACUGGUACUGAGAUACGGACCAG
rnacentral:rRNA from 1 species